AUUGAACGCUGGCGGCAGGCCUAACACAUGCAAGUCGAACGAGUGGCGGACGGGUGAGUAAUGUCUGGGAAACUGCCCGAUGGAGGGGGAUAACUACUGGAAACUGUAGCUAAUACCGCAUACCAUCGGAUGUGCCCAGAUGGGAUUAGCUUGUAGGUGAGGUAACGGCUCACCUAGGCGCCGAUCCCUAGCUGGUCUGAGAGGCUGACCAGCCACACGGGAACUGAGACAAGGUCCAGACUCCUACGGGAGGCAGAAGGGGGGAAUAGUGCACAAUGGGCGCAAGGCUGAGACAGCCAUGCCGCGUGUAUGAAGAAGGCCUUCGGGUUGUAAAGUACGUGCAGCGGGGAGGCGUUACCCGCAGAAGAAGCACCGGCUAACUCCGUGCCAGCAGCCGCGGUAAUUC
rnacentral:rRNA from 1 species